rnacentral:rRNA from 1 species
GACGAACGCUGGCGGCGUGCUUAACACAUGCGAGUCGAACGGAAAGGCCCUGCUUUUGUGGGGUGCUCGAGUGGCGAACGGGUGAGUAACACGUGAGUAACCUGCCCUUGACUUUGGGAUAACUUCAGGAAACUGGGGCUAAUACCGGAUAGGAGCUCCUGCUGCAUGGUGGGGGUUGGAAAGUUUCGGCGGUUGGGGAUGGACUCGCGGCUUAUCAGCUUGUUGGUGGGGUAGUGGCUUACCAAGGCUUUGACGGGUAGCCGGCCUGAGAGGGUGACCGGCCACAUGGGGACUGCGAUACGGCCCAGACUCCUACGGGAGGCAGCAGUGGGGAAUAUUGCACAAUGGGCGGAAGCCUGAUGCAGCAACGCCGCGUGCGGGAUGACGGCCUUCGGGUUGUAAACCGCUUUCGCCUGUGACGAAGCGUGAGUGACGGUAAUGGGUAAAGAAGCACCGGCUAACUACGUG